UGGGGAAUCUUGGACAAUGGGGGCAACCCUGAUCCAGCCAUGCCGCGUGAGUGAUGAAGGCCUUAGGGUCGUAAAGCUCUUUCGCCAGGGAUGAUAAUGACAGUACCUGGUAAAGAAACCCCGGCUAACUCCGUGCCAGCAGCCGCGGUAAUACGGAGGGGGUUAGCGUUGUUCGGAAUUACUGGGCGUAAAGCGCGCGUAGGCGGACCAGAAAGUUGGGGGUGAAAUCCCGGGGCUCAACCCCGGAACUGCCUCCAAAACUCCUGGUCUUGAGUUCGAGAGAGGUGAGUGGAAUUCCGAGUGUAGAGGUGAAAUUCGUAGAUAUUCGGAGGAACACCAGUGGCGAAGGCGGCUCACUGGCUCGAUACUGACGCUGAGGUGCGAAAGUGUGGGGAGCAAACAGGAUUAGAUACCCUGGUAGUCCACACCGUAAACGAUGAAUGCCAGUCGUCGGGUAGCAUGCUAUUCGGUGACACACCUAACGGAUUAAGCAUUCCGCCUGGGGAGUACGGUCGCAAGAUUA
rnacentral:rRNA from 1 species